UACGUAGGGGGCAAGCGUUAUCCGGAAUCAUUGGGCGUAAAGCGCGUGUAGGCGGUUCCGUAAGUCCGCUCUGAAAGCCCAGGGCUCAACCCUGGGAGGCGGGUGGAUACUACGGAACUGGAGUACGGAAGAGGAGAUUGGAAUUCCUGGUGUAGCGGUGAAAUGCGCAGAUAUCAGGAGGAACGCCAACAGCGAAGGCAGAUCUCUGGACGUUACUGACGCUGAGACGCGAAAGCGUGGGAGCAAACAGG
rnacentral:rRNA from 1 species